UCUCCGUUGGUGAACCAGCGGAGGGAUCAUUAUCGAGUUUAUAACUCCCAAACCCUAUGUGAACUUACCACUUGUUGCUUCGGCGCGCGCUUCGGUGCCGCCGAGGACACUUAAACUCUUUGUUUUUAUAAGCAUUUCUGAGUGGCCGAAAGGAAAAAUACAAAUGAAUCAAAACUUUCAACAACGGAUCUCUUGGUUCUG
rnacentral:misc_RNA from 1 species